AGAGUUUGAUCCUGGCUCAGGAUGAACGCUAGCGACAGGCUUAACACAUGCAAGUCGAGGGGCAGCGGGGUAGUAAGCUUGCUUACUACUGCCGGCGACCGGCGCACGGGUGAGUAACACGUAUGCAACCUGGCCGUCACAGAGGGAUAACCGGGAGAAAUCCCGCCUAAUACCGCAUAAUACCGGGGAAGGACAUCCUUUUCCGGUUAAAGGAGCGAUCCGGUGACGGAUGGGCAUGCGCCGCAUUAGUUAGUUGGCGGUGUAACGGACCACCAAGACGACGAUGCGUAGGGGUUCUGAGAGGAAGGUCCCCCACACUGGUACUGAGACACGGACCAGACUCCUACGGGAGGCAGCAGUGAGGAAUAUUGGUCAAUGGGCGAGAGCCUGAACCAGCCAAGUCGCGUGAGGGAAGACGGUCCUAUGGAUUGUAAACCUCUUUUGCCGGGGAGCAAAAAGCGGUACGCGUACCGCAUCGAGAGCACCCGGAGAAAAAGCAUCGGCUAACUCCGUGCCAGCAGCCGCGGUAAUACGGAGGAUGCGAGCGUUAUCCGGAUUUAUUGGGUUUAAAGGGUGCGCAGGCGGUCUGUUAAGUCAGCGGUCAAAGCCCGGGGCUCAACCCCGGCCCGCCGUUGAAACUGGCAGUCUCGAGUUGGAGAGAAGUAUGCGGAAUGCGCGGUGUAGCGGUGAAAUGCAUAGAUAUCGCGCAGAACUCCGAUUGCGAAGGCAGCAUGCCGGCUCCACACCGACGCUGAGGCACGAAAGCGUGGGUAUCGAACAGGAUUAGAUACCCUGGUAGUCCACGCAGUAAACGAGCAUAAAGGCUGUCCGGGGGGGAUUGACCCCCUGGGUGGCGAAGCGAAAGCGAUAAGCAUUCCACCUGGGGAGUACGCCGGCAACGGUGAAACUCAAAGGAAUUGACGGGGGCCCGCACAAGCGGAGGAACAUGUGGUUUAAUUCGAUGAUACGCGAGGAACCUUACCCGGGCUCAAACGGGGAGUGACUCAGGCAGAGACGCCUGUUUCCCACGGGACACUCCCCGAGGUGCUGCAUGGUUGUCGUCAGCUCGUGCCGUGAGGUGUCGGCUUAAGUGCCAUAACGAGCGCAACCCCCGCGUGCAGUUGCUAACAGAUAACGCUGAGGACUCUGCACGGACUGCCGGCGCAAGCCGCGAGGAAGGCGGGGCCGACGUCAAAUCAGCACGGCCCUUACGUCCGGGGCGACACACGUGUUACAAUGGGUGGUACAGCGGGAAGCCAGGCGGCGACGCCGAGCGGAACCCGAAAUCCACUCUCAGUUCGGAUCGGAGUCUG
rnacentral:rRNA from 1 species